GGAGGAUUCCCCUGACACAAGGCUGCAGGGCUCACAAGCACUGACAAUUCACUCAUCAGUUUCAGGACCCAUGAAGACAGAGCCACAGAUUCCCCUGAACAGAAUGGCAAUUUUCGUGUGGUGUUAAUUUCCGUGGAAGAAGAAAAGGCUCGACUCUCUGUCCUAUUUUUCAUGAAUACUGGAAGUAGGGAAUAAACCUGGAGUCUCACGGGUGAAAAGAGACAUUUCCAUAUCACCAGACCACAAACGUGGGUGUUGAUUCUAAGGAUACCCCCAAUAAACAUCUUUCGUGCUAAAGCCCAUUCCAGAAUUUACUUCCCAGCUAUCUUUGAUGUUCAUAUUGUCAGAGGUGGUGGCCGCUGAAACAGGCAAAGACAUGGAGCAUAUCUUGGGUCCAGGUAAAGGAGGUGGGUGCACACAAGUGAAAAGAUGUUGCUGAAGUCACGUGGCUUCAAGCAGUAGAGCUGACUGUCCUCUAGUCCAGUUGUCCCUACAGGAUAAAAGCUUCUCUCCAUUACAGAGACCUUGGGAGUCCAGAGGAAGGUCUUUUUACCAUCAGCAUUCUCUACUGUGUUCAAUGACUGUCAGCCAAAGAUGGCCAGGUUCUCUACUGUGAUGGUGAAUUUUAUGUGUCAAUUUGACUGGACCAUGGGAUGCCCAGCUUUCCUUCAGAAAGAAAUGCAUUCAAAGAACCUACAUUCACAACAUAAAGAAAUAAAGCACACACAAGACCGCCAAGCAUUAAGAUUCUCCUGUGGAGCCAGGCUACAAUCCUUUAAAUGAAGACAGACAGCUAGGUGGCUGCAGCCCAGCGCUACACCUCACCCCUCCCUCAGUGUCAUGCAGAAAAAAUGUAUUCAGAACUCAGAAGUGAAGUUGUGCAAAUCCAUCAUUGACACUAGCUUCAAGGUUACCUCGGGGGAGCAGAAUGUACCCCUGCCAGAGAGCUGGAUAGAUGAUGAUGGGGACAGAAAUUCUGGGGGAGUUGUAAAUGGCAGCCACUGCCUCUAUAGGAAACCCAAAGGGAACACAGCAGAAGAGGAGGUGGUGGAGGAGCCACUGCCCUCUCGAAGGGUUCAAUGUCAUUCUGCAGACACAACCAAAUAACUUUUUCUUCCCUGCUGCUCCUCCAUUUGAAAUGACAGCCCCGAGCUCGCUUUUUCCUUGAUUGUGUAACUCUGAUUACAGACAAGGCCAAGGCAAUCCCAGGGCAUUACUACAAAGCUAAGGGGUCCCCAAAGAACUAAAGAGUCAGCUCCACAAAAAUCCCGAUUCCUAGCAUGAAACUGAAAUAUGAAACCAAACGGGCAUAGAAAAGGUAUGUGCAUUCGAAUCACAUAGCAGUGACUGGAGUCCUGAGCUGUGUCUGAAGACUGUGAGAUCACGUUUGGAGCUGCUGAUUGGUUUUCAGUGAUGGCCCUGUUGCACAGUGCCGUGAGACUUAGCUCCAUGGCCAAAGACGAUGGUAUCCCCUAGGAGCCCUGUGAGGUUGCUGCUGUUCUCUUAAGACACCAGGUAGCCAUCUGAUCCUCCCUGAGCAAACUAACUGGGCAGACAGGUUUAUUAAACCUCUGUUGGUCCGACUUACAUGAAACAAGAGAGUUAUUUUGUUGUUGUUGUUUUGUUUUGUUUUAAAUUAAACCUGUCUUUGGAGCCUCCUGCUCUUAGUUUACAAGUCUUCUUUGCACACUCUAAUAUUUUAAGAAGCAGCAAACAUUAACUGAGGGUCUA
rnacentral:lncRNA from 10 species